rfam:Populus trichocarpa scaffold_12_contig_166, whole genome shotgun sequence.
UAAUUUGUACAAGGUAAAUCCUUAUCUAGUUGUGGCAUGCUCACACCUAACUACUCAGAACCACCCAUUAUCGUAAGUCUGACUACAUCAUUCUUCUCGGGUUGGAGAGAAUUCAUCCUCGAGUACGGUUCCUCCUCUAAAUAAGAU